rnacentral:rRNA from 1 species
AUUGAACGCUGGCGGCAUGCCUUACACAUGCAAGUCGAACGGCAGCGGGCCUUCGGGUGCCGGCGAGUGGCGAACGGGUGAGUAAUGCAUCGGAACGUGCCAUUGAGUGGGGGAUAACGUAGCGAAAGUUACGCUAAUACCGCAUAUUCUGUGAGCAGGAAAGCAGGGGACCGCAAGGCCUUGCGCUCUUUGAGCGGCCGAUGUCAGAUUAGCUAGUUGGUGAGGUAAAGGCUUACCAAGGCGACGAUCUGUAGCGGGUCUGAGAGGAUGAUCCGCCACACUGGAACUGAGACACGGUCCAGACUCCUACGGGAGGCAGCAGUGGGGGAAUUUUUGGACAAUGGGCGCAAGCCUGAUCCAGCCAUGCCGCGUGAGUGAAGAAGGCCU